rnacentral:rRNA from 1 species
UACGUAGGGUGCAAGCGUUGUCCGGAAUUAUUGGGCGUAAAGAGCGUGUAGGCGGCCCGAUUAGUCCGCUGUGAAAGUCCAGGGCUCAACCCUGGAAUGCCGGUGGAUACUGUCGGGCUAGAGUCCGGAAGGGGCGAGUGGAAUUCCUGGUGUAGCGGUGAAAUGCGCAGAUAUCAGGAGGAACACCGGUGGCGAAGGCGGCUUGCUGGGCCUUACCUGACGCUGAGGAGCGAAAGCGUGGGGAGCGAACAGG